CAAGUCGAACGGUAACAGGAAGCAGCUUGCUGCUUCGCUGACGAGUGGCGGACGGGUGAGUAAUGUCUGGGAAACUGCCUGAUGGAGGGGGAUAACUACUGGAAACGGUAGCUAAUACCGCAUAACGUCGCAAGACCAAAGAGGGGGACCUUCGGGCCUCUUGCCAUCGGAUGUGCCCAGAUGGGAUUAGCUAGUAGGUGGGGUAACGGCUCACCUAGGCGACGAUCCCUAGCUGGUCUGAGAGGAUGACCAGCCACACUGGAACUGAGACACGGUCCAGACUCCUACGGGAGGCAGCAGUGGGGAAUAUUGCACAAUGGGCGCAAGCCUGAUGCAGCCAUGCCGCGUGUAUGAAGAAGGCCUUCGGGUUGUAAAGUACUUUCAGCGGGGAGGAAGGCGACAGGGUUAAUAACCCUGUCGAUUGACGUUACCCGCAGAAGAAGCACCGGCUAACUCCGUGCCAGCAGCCGCGGUAAUACGGAGGGUGCAAGCGUUAAUCGGAAUUACUGGGCGUAAAGCGCACGCAGGCGGUCUGUCAAGUCGGAUGUGAAAUCCCCGGGCUCAACCUGGGAACUGCAUUCGAAACUGGCAGGCUAGAGUCUUGUAGAGGGGGGUAGAAUUCCAGGUGUAGCGGUGAAAUGCGUGGAGAUCUGGAGGAAUACCGGUGGCGAAGGCGGCCCCCUGGACAAAGACUGACGCUCAGGUGCGAAAGCGUGGGGAGCAAA
rnacentral:rRNA from 1 species